GACGAACGCUGGCGGCGUGCUUAACACAUGCAAGUCGAACGAUGAAGCCUAGCUUGCUAGGUGGAUUAGUGGCGAACGGGUGAGUAAUACGUGAGUAACCUACCUUUAACUCUGGGAUAAGCCUGGGAAACUGGGUCUAAUACCGGAUACGACCAAUCUCCGCAUGGGGUGUUGGUGGAAAGCGUUAUGUAGUUGUUAUAGAUGGGCUCACGGCCUAUCAGCUUGUUGGUGAGGUAACGGCUCACCAAGGCGACGACGGGUAGCCGGCCUGAGAGGGUGACCGGCCACACUGGGACUGAGACACGGCCCAGACUCCUACGGGAGGCAGCAGUGGGGAAUAUUGCACAAUGGGCGCAAGCCUGAUGCAGCGACGCCGCGUGAGGGAUGACGGCCUUCGGGUUGUAAACCUCUGUUAGCAGGGAAGAAGAGAGAUUGACGGUACCUGCGGAGAAAGCGCCGGCUAACUACGUGCCAGCAGCCGCGGUAAUACGUAGGGCGCGAGCGUUGUCCGGAAUUAUUGGGCGUAAAGAGCUUGUAGGCGGUUUGUCGCGUCUGCUGUGAAAGGCCGGAGCUUAACUCCGUGUAUUGCAGUGGGUACGGGCAGACUAGAGUGCAGUAGGGGAGACUGGAAUUCCUGGUGUAGCGGUGGAAUGCGCAGAUAUCAGGAGGAACACCGAUGGCGAGGCCAGGUCUCUGGGCUGUAACUGACGCUGAGAAGCGAAAGCAUGGGGAGCGAACAGGAUUAGAUACCCUGGUAGUCCAUGCCGUAAACGUUGGGCACUAGGUGUGGGGAACAUUCCACGUUUUCCGCGCGGUAGCUAACGCAUUAAGUGCCCCCGCCUGGGGAGUACGCCCGCAAGGCUAAAACUCAAAGAAAUGGACGGGGCCCCGCCACAAGCGGCGGAGCAUGCGGAUUAAUUCAAUGCAACGCGGAGACCCUUACCAAGGCUUGACAUAUACUGGACCGCAUCAGAGAUGGUGUUUCCCUUCGGGGCUGGUAUACAGGUGGUGCAUGGUGGUCGUCAGCUCGUGUCGUGAGAUGUGGGGUAAAGUCCCGCAACGAGCGCAACCCUCGUUCUAUGUUGCCAGCACGUUAUGGUGGGGACUCAUAGGAGACUGCCGGGGUCAGCUCGGAGGAAGGUGGGGAUGACGUCAAAUCAUCAUGCCCCUUAUGUCUUGGGCUUCACGCAUGCUACAAUGGCCGGUACAGAGGGUUGCGAUACUGUGAGGUGGAGCUAAUCCCUAAAAGCCGGUCUCAGUUCGGAUUGGGGUCUGCAACUCGACCCCAUGAAGUCGGAGUCGCUAGUAAUCGCAGAUCAGCAACGCUGCGGUGAAUACGUUCCCGGGCCU
rnacentral:rRNA from 1 species